AAAAACCUUCUCACUAAAACAAAGGGGCUCAGACAGGACAAAAGGAGAACGGGUUACCUAUUUGGGGGUCUGUUAUUUUUCAUCGGCUCGGUUUCCUUGUCUUAUGACACCUGGGGAGAGACCUUCAGGUGAGAGGGUCUCGAUGGCAGGAGUUUGUAAGAUAUGCGAGUGCGUAUUAUGCAUGAGGUCUCCAUUUGGAAAACUGCAGUCUCAGGCACUAACCAAGAUGAAUGACAGUGAUGCGUUCUUCAUACUUAAAGGCAGAAGAUACCUCCUAGGAACAGAGAGAAGUUGGUUGGGGCAGAGCUGUACUGCACUCUUCCAGGGUACUACCAUGGUCUAAGACUUGCUGAUGCAGAGGACUCCACCAGACCUUCCUCCCUCAGAACACUCUGGACCAAAAAGCGGCAAUAGUCCCUGUGCACUUGUGUGCCCCAGCUCAGAGAAUUCAUGUCAUGUCACUUCUGAUAAAGAAUUCUCUCCUUUAGUUUGGCUCAUUAAGUCUUCAUGCAGGGGAUCAGAAACAAGCCUCCAAUUUCCAUAUGUGAUUGUUCGAAGAAAAGGAGAGGAUGCAGUUCAACUUGAGAUAAGAAAAGCAGGGUUUGCUUACGCUGGGUAAGAUUGCAUAUCUUACCCAAUCAGGAAAUGGAAUCAAAUAAAAAUCUUCAAUUCAUGAAA